rnacentral:rRNA from 1 species
UACGUAGGGUGCAAGCGUCAAUCGGAAUUACUGGGCGUAAAGCGUGCGCAGGCGGUUUUGUAAGUCUGACGUGAAAUCCCCGGGCUCAACCUGGGAAUUGCGUUGGAGACUGCAAGGCUAGAAUCUGGCAGAGGGGGGUAGAAUUCCACGUGUAGCAGGGAAAUGCGUAGAGAUGUGGAGGAACACCGAUGGCGAAGGCAGCCCCCUGGGUCAAGAUUGACGCUCAUGCACGAAAGCGUGGGGAGCAAACAGG